rnacentral:Y_RNA from 1 species
GGCUGGUCUGAAGGUAGUGCGUUAUCUCAGUUGAUUGUUCACAGUCACUUGCAGAUUAAACUCCUUGUUCUACUCUUUACCCCUUCUCACCACUGCACUUGAUUAUUAA